rnacentral:lncRNA from 1 species
GCAGGCCACACACUGCGCAUGCUCCCCUCCCAGGUGCUGGCAGGCCACUGCGCAAGUGUGGACAGCCUACACCAAGGGAAGAGUCAGGGGAGAAGGAACACAAGACUCCGGAAGCAUGCCAGCGUAUAAAACCACACUUUGCCUCAUUGGUUCGUGCCUCAGCUUCCAAUCUGGACAUGGAGCACAAUAACAGUGGGCCCACUGCUCUCCGAAUUCCUGCGCGCACUUGAAGGGAGUGUCUGGUGCAGGCAUGCAGGGAGGAAGAAUGACUCUGAGCUUGACCAUUCAACUUCGAAACUUUAACAUCAAUGGAUCAGCACACACUGGUGUACGGUCUGCUAUGCAUGCAGCCCUGUGCUAGGCAAAAGAAGUAUCAGACCAGGAACUGACAGCCUCACUGCAACAGGAAGAGAGGCUUCACACAAUAAGCGUUUCAUUCAACCAGGCUGGACCUGUGCUUAUUGAGUUGAACAUCACUGAGCACAAAAUGCAAGCCAGACACCAUAAGAGCUGUAAGGAUGAUAAAGAUGUCUUUCUACCCUCGAGAGCUCUAAGUGUGGUCAGGAGAGAAACACAUGCAAAGAUUAUGCUGGCUGGAAGGAAAUGCUGGAAUGAAGGUGGAAGGUACAUCCAGAAUGUUCUGGGGGUGAGGAAUAGCGAAUGAUGGGUUCUGACUUAGAACAUGAAGGGAAGGUAUUAAGAAAGAGGUGAUAUUAAGCAUUUAUUGAGCAUCUCUACUUUUUUUGUGUAUGUGACCUUGUUUGGAAAUACAAUAUCUCUUCUUGAUGCUGGCAAUGAAUAGUAUGACAACCUUCUGUCCUCACAGAGCUUCCAACAAACAGAGGCUGUGGAGGGUUGAGAGGAGCUGGGGACAUAUGAGCAAAGGUCUGGAAGUGGAUGUUGUGUCUGGGGUGGGAGGCAUGUUGGGUGGUGGUGGGUGGGACGCUCUGAGAUCAGGUUGACAUGGGAGUGGUGCUAUGUGUGGAGGGUGGUCAGUGCCAUCACAGGGCAUUUUUACUAGGCUUUACUGCCUGGUCAAACAUUUGGCACCCAAAGUUGAUCCACCCUCUCCUAGUGGAAAUGAAGCAUCUCAUUACUAACUGGGCUUUUGUUCAAACCCCAACAUCUGGUUGGAUGGGCCUGAGGCCCCCAACCAGAGCUGAGCAGCCUCUGGGGAGGCUCAGUUUCUGAGCAAAGACAGGCGAUGUGAUCAGUCCUGUGCCUUAGGCAGGUGGUGAUAAAAGGACACUUUAGAAGGGUCAGAAAUGGGAGAGCUGGAAGCCAAUACCAUGGCAAUCAUUUGUGCAAGAGAUGAUGAAGACCUGUGUAGAUGGAAGGGAAGGAAGGGACAGCUGGGAGCUGACCAGGAUGAGCCAAUAAUUAGAUGCAGAAGUGAAGGAGUCAGAAUGACAUUGGAACAGGGUGGGUAGGAGGAGGGAGGGGACCAUCACUAAGACAGAGAACACAGAAAGGGAUCUGAUUUUGCGUGGAAAUCUGCGUUGUGUUUUGGACAUGCUGAUUUGGGAGAUACUUGAGGUGGUGAUGCCUCCUGGGAGCUGGAAAUAUAAGGCUGGUGCUUAGGAGAGAAGGCAGCAUGAGACGUGUUGACCCGGGCAUCAUCUACAGAGAAACAGCCUGAAGCCCUUGCCUGGUGGGAGUUUAUAAAAGACUUACGGGAUAACUGACAGCUAUCAGGGGGAGAGAAAAUGGUGAUUAAUUAGGCUGAGACACAGAAUCUUAUCAUUGGCAAGGCUUUUGGACAUGAGGUGGCUUAAAUAUUAGAGAUAUUUAAUAAAUGUUUGUCAAAUCAAACCAAACUUCCCACCUAGUGCAAAUGUCACAUGGCAUAAGUGUCACCCAUCUAUCCAGAUGGCACUUGAAUUCUUCCAGGGGCAAGGACAUUACCUCAUGACGUCCAUUUUACUGUUAGACACCUAAAAUAGUUCCUGGUACAGAGUAAGUGAACAAGAAAUCCACUAUCUUUUGAAUGAAGGAAUGAACGAGUGGGUAAAUCACAUUGUCUCAGGCUCCAUGCUGAGUCUGAUGGGAUGGCAAGACAUUCAGGGGAGACAGACAGAGGUUAGGCUGGAAAGUUACCAACACACUGGUGACAGCUGAAGCUAUGAUGGGGACCAAGAUCUUUAUGGGACAGAGCAGAGAGAGAGAAGCACAGGAGAGGCAAGGAUGAAGCUCUUUUGUUCAUGUAUCCAUUCACCAACUUGUUUUUGUUUUUUAUUUAGAGACGGGGUCUCAUUAUGUUGCCCAGGCUGGUCUCGAACUCCUAAGCUCAGGUGAUCCACCUGCCUUGGCCUCCCAAAGUACUAGAAUUACAGAUGUCAGCCACUGUGAUGGCCAAUUCAACAGCUUCUUAUUGAACACUUGUUAUAUUCUAGCCAAAGGCCCUGCCCUUGGGAAGCUUGCAUUCUAGUGGGGAGAGGGCAAUAAAUAAAUGAGCAGAUAGAGAUAUAUAAUGCAAUUGAUUAUAAGUGAAGCAAAGCAAAAUAAAGCUGGAUAAGAGGACAGAAAAGGACAGGGUGCUAUUUUCAAUAGAACGGCUGGACAAGGCCCCUUUUAAUCAAAGUGAGGGGGCAAAGCAGGGUGCUAAGACUGAAAACCCUUGGUCCCAACUUCCUGUGGUUACAAACAGGGUUGAAUUAUCUAGGAACAUGGGCAAACACUGGUCUGUAAAUCUCCUAAGUGGUAAUGUGGGAACCCCCUAAGAGUUUAGCAGUUGAGCUCUUUCUUCCAAACUUCUCUUUCUCUAGGCGGAACUUCCCAAGCUGCCAAUGGCCUCCAUUGGGGCCUGGUCAUUUAGAGGGAAAAAUGACAUCAGCAACCUAGGUGCUGACAGCUGACAAAGUUCUUUCAAAUGCACAAUGAAACCGGCCUUUGCAAUCAUGCCUUAGAAAUCUUAUUUUAUAGAUGAGAAAACUGAGGCUCAGAAAGAUUAAACAACUUGCUGCAAGUUACAAAAUUCAUAAUUAUUGGAGCUGAGGUUCUAACCCAAGUGUAUCUGCAGUAACUUUGACUUUUUUAUUGUUAAUUCUAAUAAAACUUGAUCAAAUUCUCAAAGGGAGGUGAAGUUAGGAGGAGGAGAAUAGGCUAACAUUUACUGAGUGUCUACCUCAUGUCUAGGAUUGAGUAGGUAUUUACAGGUAUUAUCAUAUUUUAUCCUCACAACACCAUAAAAGCUAGGUACUCAUGCCCAUCUUACAGAUGAGGAAACUGAGGUACAGUGAGGCUGGCAAUAUACCAAAGGUCCUAUGGCCACUGAAUGAUGAACUGGGUUGGAGCAUAGGUUACCCUGAAAAUAAACUCCUGGUUUCCAACUUUUUCCUUUAUAUCUAGACAUUUCAUUUAAACCGUGAAAGUUUCAUUAAGACCAUCAAACUUCUCCUGCUGUUGGUCCCUAUUGAGAACCUGGUGCUGAAAUGAGCUGAAAAGGCCAAACUCUAACUUAAGUGCAUAGAGAAAGGACAGUAGUCUGGAAUGUUGCUGCUGGUCUAAGUGUGAGGAUAAUUCUAUUGCCUCUUGUGAAUACUAAACAUAUUCUGAUAGUGCUAUUUUUUUUCACAGCAUUCUAUUCAUCUAAAAGCACCGGUAAUUAACGAUGCUAAUAAAUGUAUAAUCCCUUUGUAAACAUCUCUUCACAAGGUCAUAAAGAAGGAAGACUGAAUGAAGGACGCCAGGCUUUCAUUUUAGAAUUAAUUUUGUCAUUGAAUGCACUCACUGCAUUAUUUGAUAGAGUACUUUUGCAUUUGAAGUAGUACAUUUGCCUUCUACCAUCUCAUUAACAUUGCUUUCAACAGAAUCAGAAAUAACACAAACCACUGCAGGGUAAUUUUGAAUGCUCAUUUGACUAUGCAGUGACAUCAAGUGGCGAGUUGAGGAAUGAUCAUAUGCUGUGUGAGAACUCCGUGUUAAAAAUUCCAUGGAGCCAGGCUAGACACCACAUUUGGCACUUUCAGCUGUUUAGAUUUCAGAGAAUUAAAAGGAAAUGGUCACCGACCUGCCUUUGAUAGUACCCGUAUACCCCUUCCCACCAUAAGAAACCAGCGUUCCUUAGAGAAAUGGCUAAUUCUAGCUCUAGGGCAAGAAAUGCUAAGAUGUGCUCAAAACAUCUCAUUAUACCAGCAAGCCAGGGAGCCAUCAACGACUACUGGAGCUGUGUCAAAAGGACCAACAAACCAACUUGAAGAGGCUCCCGCUGGCCAACAGUGGGGCAAUUAGAGCAUCAAUAAGAAUAAUAUCUGUAACAAACUGAAACGUAUCAAAUAUGUUUAAAUUCAUAUGUUUAUAAUUACACUCAAAAAACGAAGAUGCAGACCACUUUACCUUGAGGAUGUUACAGAAUGAAAUUAUCAUUCUGAAAACUGGUAAAUAAAGAGAAGGUAUCAAGUAAGCAUGUAUCUGGCUUUUUCUAUAUGAAAUAAAGGAAGCCAAAUAGUAAACGAGGGGAAGUUUCUCUUUACUGAAAUAUUGCAGGUAAUAAAAGAAGAAGGAGAAACAGAGAACAUUAUCGUUUUAUGGCCUCUAAUGGAACAAGACAUCUAGGCAAUGAUGAACUAUGGUCACCAACAUCACUCAAUCAGGGACAAUCAGACACUGUGGGCCCCUGAAGGAAGUAAACACCACCACGUAGGAAAUAUUCUCACCAAAACUUCAAAAACUUGAAUCUGAUCUAGUCUUUAGUUUCAACUACUAAUUUACAGGCAAUACGGGGCUCAGAGGGAUGUGGUAAAAUGUCACGGAAAUAUAAUCAGCAAAAUCCAGUACAGAUAAUAAGAAGACAAAUGAUCCACAGAUGGAAAGGAAGAAUGUAAAGUUGUGUUGGUAAAGAAAUUCACAGAUUAAUAAAAGCUUAAAAAUGUACCAUCAGCCAGGUGUGGUUGUGUGCAACUGUAGUACCAGCUACUUGAGAGGCUGAGGUGGGAGGAUUACCUGAGCCCAGGAGUUUGAGGCUGCAGUGAGCUAUGAUCACACCACUGCACUGCAGCCUGGGCAACAGAGCAAGGCCUUGUCUCUUAACAACAACAACAAAAAGAAAGUACUACAAAAUCUGACUUGGAUCCAGAUUCUAACAAAAUAUUAAAACAAAUGAUGGCCAGGCGUGGUGGCUCACGCCUGUAAUCCCAGCACUUUGGGAGGCCGAGGCAGGUGGAUCACAAGGUCAGGAGUUCAAGACCAGCCUGGCCAAGAUGGUGAAACCCUGUCUCUACUAAAAAACUACAAAUAUUAGGCACAGUGGCAGGUUCCUGUACUCCCAGCUACUUGGGAGGCUGAGGCAGGAGAAUUGCUUGAACCCAGGCAGCAGAGGUUGCAGUGAGCCAAGAUCGCAC